GAUGAACGCUAGCGGCAGGCCUAAUACAUGCAAGUCGAGGGGCAGCGCGGUAGCAAUACUGGCGGCGACCGGCGCACGGGUGCGUAACACGUAUGCAACCUACCUUCAACUGGAGGAUAGCCCGGGGAAACUCGGAUUAAUACUCCAUAACACAGGGAUCCCGCAUGGGAAUAUUGUUAAAGCUACGGCGGUUGAAGAUGGGCAUGCGUUCGAUUAGCUAGUUGGUGUAGGUAACGGCUCACCAAGGCUACGAUCGAUAGGGGGUCUGAGAGGAUGAUCCCCCACACUGGUACUGAGAUACGGACCAGACUCCUACGGGAGGCAGCAGUAGGGAAUAUUGGUCAAUGGGCGCAAGCCUGAACCAGCCAUGCCGCGUGCAGGAAGAAGGCCCUCGUGGGUUGUAAACUGCUUUUGAUAGGGAACAAAUGCCACUUGCGAGUGGAGCUGAGUGUACCUAUAGAAUAAGCACCGGCUAACUCCGUG
rnacentral:rRNA from 1 species